AGGGUGUGCUCAGAACAGGGGGCCUGAAGAAACGGCUCCUGUUUACAAGACACUCAACAGGAAUCUGGGUUCACUGUGACAAGGGGCACCAGACUUGGUGCCUUUGUCCUGUGAGCAAAUACCUUCCACGU
ensembl:snoRNA